UACGUAGGUGGCAAGCGUUAUCCGGAAUUAUUGGGCGUAAAGCGUGCGCAGGUGGUUUCUUAAGUCUGAUGUGAAAGCCCACGGCUCAACCGUGGAGGGUCAUUGGAAACUGGGAGACUUGAGUGCAGGAGAGGAAAGUGGAAUUCCAUGUGUAGCGGUGAAAUGCGUAGAGAUAUGGAGGAACACCAGUGGCGAAGGCGACUUUCUGGUCUGUAACUGACACUGAGGCGCGAAAGCGUGGGGAGCAAACAGG
rnacentral:rRNA from 1 species